rnacentral:rRNA from 1 species
GUUUGAUUAUGGCUCAGAGUGAACGCUGGCGGCGUGCCUAAUACAUGCAAGUCGAACGAUGAAGCUCUAGCUUGCUAGAGUGGAUUAGUGGCGCACGGGUGAGUAAUGCAUAGAUAACAUGCCCUUUAGUCUAGGAUAGCCAUUGGAAACGAUGAUUAAUACUGGAUACUCCUUACGAGGGAAAGUUUUUCGCUAAAGGAUUGGUCUAUGUCCUAUCAGCUUGUUGGUGAGGUAAUGGCUCACCAAGGCUAUGACGGGUAUCCGGCCUGAGAGGGUGAACGGACACACUGGAACUGAGACACGGUCCAGACUCCUACGGGAGGCAGCAGUAGGGAAUAUUGCUCAAUGGGGGAAACCCUGAAGCAGCAACGCCGCGUGGAGGAUGAAGGUUUUCGGAUUGUAAACUCCUUUUGUUAGAGAAGAUAAUGACGGUAUCUAACGAAUAAGCACCGGCUAACUCCGUGCCAGCAGCCGCGGUAAUACGGAGGGUGCAAGCGUUACUCGGAAUCACUGGGCGUAAAGAGCGCGUAGGCGGGAUAGCAAGUCAGAUGUGAAAUCCUAUGGCUUAACCAUAGAACUGCAUUUGAAACUGUUAUUCUAGAGUAUGGGAGAGGUAGGUGGAAUUCUUGGUGUAGGGGUAAAAUCCGUAGAGAUCAAGAGGAAUACUCAUUGCGAAGGCGACCUGCUAGAACAUAACUGACGCUGAUGCGCGAAAGCGUGGGGAGCAAACAGGAUUAGAUACCCUGGUAGUCCACGCCCUAAACGAUGAAUGCUAGUUGUUGUGGAGCUUGUCUCUGCAGUAAUGCAGCUAACGCAUUAAGCAUUCCGCCUGGGGAGUACGGUCGCAAGAUUAAAACUCAAAGGAAUAGACGGGGACCCGCACAAGCGGUGGAGCAUGUGGUUUAAUUCGAAGAUACACGAAGAACCUUACCUAGGCUUGACAUUGAUAGAAUCCGCUAGAGAUAGUGGAGUGCUAGCUUGCUAGAACUUGAAAACAGGUGCUGCACGGCUGUCGUCAGCUCGUGUCGUGAGAUGUUGGGUUAAGUCCCGCAACGAGCGCAACCCUCGUCCUUAGUUGCUAACUAUUCGGUAGAGCACUCUAAGGAGACUGCCUUCGCAAGGAGGAGGAAGGUGAGGAUGACGUCAAGUCAUCAUGGCCCUUACGCCUAGGGCUACACACGUGCUACAAUGGGAAGCACAAAGAGAUGCAAUAUUGUGAAAUGGAGCAAAUCUAUAAAACUUCUCUCAGUUCGGAUUGUAGUCUGCAACUCGACUACAUGAAGCUGGAAUCGCUAGUAAUCGUAAAUCAGCUAUGUUACGGUGAAUACGUUCCCGGGUCUUGUACUCACCGCCCGUCACACCAUGGGAGUUGUAUUCGCCUUAAGUCGGAAUGCCAAACUGGCUACCGCCCACGGCGGAUGCAGCAACUGGGGUGAAGUCGUAACAAGGUAACC